AAUGGACGGAGGGAGGGAUCUAUGUGCGUCUGUGUUAGGCGGGCACAAUGACGACCACCCUUGAUGGUCAUCAAAUACUGCCAAGGCCAACCUUGACCUCCAGACGACGCUCACCACCGCCUCUUCCUUCUCGGCAACGUGAGAAAUCACUUGGACUCCAACCAUGUGCGAGAAUUGACAUUUCCGUCACCCCUGUUGGCCAAUCACGCGUGCUGAAGUGAAAUGCAAUAACGGCACAAAACGGCUUCACGAUUGAACUCGCUUGCAAUGGAGCACUUGCCCGGUUAUUAUACAUUCGGGGCAGUGCCCCAUCACAUCCCGUCCAGCUGUGGAAAAAACAACCACCGAAUCCAAUUUCUCAAAAUCCAGUCUUCCAUUUUCCAAAGCUUUUGUCCUCAUGUCCACAAUUAACUUGAGAAAGUAACUUGACUCAUACACUUUAAAAGUAACUCAAAAGUACUUAUUACCUCAUCUUAAAAGUCACUGAGGUAGAUAGAAAGUUACGUCAUUCGUUAUAUUCAACAGAAACCGUCAACUCUGCUUCACAUGAAAUUGAUCAGGUGUGAGAUUAGUCAUUACUGUAGUAACUGAGUAUGUUUGAGUAGCGUGUUACUUCCUAGCAUGCUGACUGCAGGACGCAAUUUGACAAACAGCGACUCAUAUUCGUACCGAUGGACAAUUUAUAUUUGGGGCAUUUCUGUUUCAGCCCUUUGUAUUCUGCCUAGCAACAAAUGGCCUGUCACGAAUGAAAACAUUUUGGUGAAGGCUAGCCAAUAGGCACGGCUAUAGGAUUUCUGCCUAGCAACAAGCGACCAUGCAGGGAAUAGAUUUUCGGGAGACAAAUUCCGCCUUGCGACCACAUCAACAUUUGACAUGAUAAAUAACACAAGAACACUGCCGCUACUGGAACUUCAGUCACUGACGUCUGUCACGAUGACAACAUUUUUGCAUAAUCAAUUUAGCGCGCGACAUCGCAUGAGAGGCAAAAGCGCGGACGUCACGUGGACUCGUGCACACACGUGGAAACUGGAGGCGUAAUCCACACCCGUCUAACGGGAUUACGACAACCAGAUUAGACAAUUUGCUGUAUGCUUGAUGGCGAAGGAGCACAACAGCCCGCAGGCUCAGGUGAGCGCGCAUCAAUUACACGUAUGACGGCAACAUGUUUAGUUUGUUGCACACACGCACACACAAACGAUUUCGGCUGUUAAAAUCUGUUUGCAUUGGGGACGAAAAGGAGACCUACCAUAAACUUUGUUAUGCUCAUUACUUCCACCUAGAGGACUGGGGUGGAACACCAUAAAUGAUGGGAAGUGUUAAAAUAUACGUGCAUGUGUGUGUGUGUGUGUGUGUGUGUGUGUGUCCUCAUGUGUGUGUUCAUGCGUGCGUGUGUGUGUGUGUGUGUGAGUUAACAGAAUGCGAUGCUGCAGGUGGGCGGAAAAUGGCAGAAGAGAAAGUAGGAGGGGGCUGAGCGAGCAUGUGGACGUGUGUGAUUCAAGAAUAGGGGGGGGGUGAGAAAAGAAGUACCCCCUCCUUCCUCCACCAAUUGCACCCCCCCACUACCCUUCACCCCCUCAAUGGGGGCACGGAGAAGAGUCAUUGCUCCUGGGGCGCUGGGUGACAUAUAAGCGAGGCGGCGGCCUGCCUCCUUUGCACACGCACGCACAUAUUUAUGCAGAUCACUCACAUACACACAAACACACACACAGAACGGUACUCACACACACACACACACACACACACACACACGCGCACGUUGCAUACGCAUUGAGAUCUCAUAUCCAGCAUAUUUAGAUCACAUCAAAUGUCUUUACCAAGACUUUUGAACGAAUUCGCGGUAUGCUCCAAUGACAACCCACAGUCGAAAAUGUUCACUCCACAUCGACAGUUGCUUAUUAAGUCAACAAAUAAGUCACAUAUUUCUCAUUUCAUAAAUUUUUUUUUCUGGUUGUUUUACAUCCUUUUUUUUUCGGCAGUGAGGAAAAUGCUGCGCCUCAAUGGCUGACCCGCGGGGGCGUAGACAAAAAGCGCUAAAAAAAAAAAUCGAUACGGGCUGUCAAAGUUGAUUUCAUCUUGAUGACGCUUUCCGACUGUUUCUUGCUUGCUUUCUUAAAAAAAAAAAAAAAAAACGCAAAACCUCAACAGCCAGGAGCAUACGGCGGGAUUUCAAAGCUGCUUUUGGCCUUGUGCAGCGCGCGUGACCUCGGCCUCAGCAGACGGCUCCAUUAUCACAACGGCGGCUUACAUCAGCGCAGCCGGCAGAAGCUCCGGUACGGCGCUCCUCCACGUCGCGAUUUACACUUCAAAGGCCGAAAAGCCUGCGCCGGCGUUCCCGCCCGGCCUCGUCCCGACGGGAAGCAGAGCCGAGGUGGCCGCUGAGAGGGGAAAAAAACAAAAACAAAACAGAAAAGGCCAAAACGGCUUUUCUCAGGCGGCUGGAUCAGCACAUCCCAAACCAGUCACGGAUUCUUCACCGCAUUCCCGCCCACAAAAGCUCCACUUUUCCACUUUCAAGCGUGACAUCCCAAAGCGGCAACAGCCGCUGGGAUGGCAGCCAUUUCCAGGGGAAAACCGUUCAUCGCCCACAUCGUAAAUCUAUCGAAAGCCCAGACGGCUUCGUCACAUCACCACGUCCUGAUAACUUCAUCGUUAGCCAUUUUGCACCACAACAUUUUAAGGAGUGGCCCUUCGGAGCAUGAUUGAUGUGCUCAUUUAUUCAUCAACCUAUUCUACCUAGUAACAAUUGACCAUACACACACACACACGCACUGCAGCCACCUUCAUCCAUAGCAAGAUAAACGGCACGGACAUGCGGUUUCGGUGCCCGGUCACCAUGGCGACACGUACAUAGACGUUCCCUAAUGGAGGACACACCUUGGCAGGAAGUGAGGUGACAGCUUUGCGGUGACCUCUGCUGACAACACCCCUCCUACGCAAACACCCCAACGUCAUCAUUAAUUAAUCAGCUGGGAAGUUAGUGUGUGCGAGAUGACAAAGACAAGCGUCAGUAUGCAUCAGAUGAGUGUCAGUAGUGAAAAGAAACAUCCACAAGCAUCAAAUGUGACCAUGAUGAUGAUGAUGAUGAUGAUGACAAUGAUGGCUUGUCAGGGUGCUCGCUGACCCAGUGGCACACAAAAAUUCCGUACAGAAGUCAUUAUGUCAUGGGACAUGGACUCCAUGUCACGAUUUUUUUUUUCACUAACACAAAUGUUAUCUUGGUAUUUUGGAUAAAUGUAAUCACAGUCACAAAGUCUGUUAAGGAAAAAUAGGCCUCCAAUGUAUAGUGAUAAAAUUCAAGUUCAACAUUUUAGAUUGACCCAACUGAUUUGCAUUUAAUUGUUUCUAUUCCAACCCCCCCACCUCCAAAACAUAUUUUUCCAUUCUAAAAGAAAAAAAAAGUACAUCUCCUCGAAUAUGUCGAGGUGAAACGGAGGAAAAUAAUAAAAUAGCACCGCACCAGCCCAAAAUGACGCCAGCCCAAGAGGUAUCUGCCUUGUACGCCAGGCGGCCAGUCCAGCCCUGGUCAAAUGUGACAGAAAAGCUGAGCGCCUGUGAAGUUGCUAAUGUUGGGAAGAAGGUGGAGCAGCAUGCUGAUAAUGCAGAAGCUCGACACAGCAGGUGACGACUCACCUUCACAUUGGUGCUUUCAUGCUUUUUGGCCUGAAGACAAAAAGUGUAGCGGGCACCAGCAAGGGCUGGCGCCCGCUGCACUUUGUUAACAACAGACGAUUUGUGCGACAUAUGUGCAGCAUCGCCUUUGCCCACGCACAUGCAUGCACGAACAAGCCUUUUACACAAGCAAAGCCAUCGCAUGCCACUACCUAUCACGUGACUUCUUCAAGGAUGGUGAGCCAAACAGACACAUACAGUACGUGGCACCAUCGUGCAUUCAGGCGCAAAAGUGCCUCUUUUUUUUUUAAUCACUAACUUUGAAAUUUGGAGACUUUAAAUAAAGGUAAAUUACACUGAAUACCAAGAUGAGGUACACACAAGCCAUGCUGAUACAUUGCGGUGAAAAAACAUUCAGUUCCUCACAGACACAAAUGCAAGAAUAUGCAAAUAAGCUGAGGACAAUAUGCUAAUUGUCGAUGCAGCAUAUGUGUGUGUGUGUAUGUCUGUGUGCGCGUGUGUGUGUGAGUGCGCCCGGUUGCACAAAACGGUGCUCAAAAAUGGCUGUCACCGCAAAGCCACAGACGGGCAGCGAUGUUAGCCAAUCAACAGCUAGCGUGGGUGGGCUGAGGAGUCCAUUGCAGAGUUUAUGGAGCAAAUGGAGACACCUUGAUGAGGACUGUCGCAGCCGCAACAGUUGCCAAGGAGACCUGAUGAUGAUAAUGGCGGAGGAUUUGGGAGGGGUAUGGGCAGCAGUUGAGGUCGAUGCGGCGGAGUUUGUUAGCGCGUCGUCAUGGCGACAAGAUGCUGACAUUCAGGCCUUGGCCGCCAAGGUUAAAUACAAAAAAAUAAAUGGGAAGGAAAACAUAGCCAAAGUUUGCUGAUCCUAUUGAGGAUUUGCGAGUAAAAUUGGAGUGAAUGUUCAGCCCUGAAACCAGUUUCACACAACUCGAAAUUUGCUGGACAAAAUAAAUCUCAAGAACCCAUUGCCAGAAAUAGAAAAGGAAGUCAGCCAUUUUUGUUCUAAACAGCCAUUUCCGAUGAAUUUCCUCAGGGUUGUCUACUAGAAAGUGACUAAAUAAAUGAAAAUCUGCCACCUGCAUGAAAUUGGAUGGACCCGACCAUGAAAAAAAACUCAAGGAACCACGGCAGAAACUGAACAGGAAGUCAGCCAUUUUGGUAAGGUGCUGCCAUUUUGUGUAGUAGUUAUUUUUUUUAUUUCCAAAGUGACCUGGGCUAUAACAGAACGUUGUCGGCAUAAUUAGAACCCGAAUUAGAAGAACAAGAACAAGAGUACAAGAAGAAAGAGAACACGUUUAAAAAAAUUAAGAAAAAGAAAAAAACAACAAAAAAACCCACUCAAUCAUCAUCAUCUUAAUGUUUUUUUCUUUUAAAAGAGACCUAGGCAUUUCUAUAUUUUUUUCCAUUAAUUUGUCCUUUUUGUUUUUUU